AUCAAAGUACUACUCUUCAGAUCGCAUAAAUCUUUCACCUUUUACUAAAGAUUUCCAUGGAGAGGAACAUUUAUGAGUUUCAACUAAUUUUUUGAUGCCCUGCUUUGGCGGGGCU